CACCCAAAUAGCUAGCCCAACCCUUAAAAAACAACAACUCAACACUAAUAAACCCUAACACCCCAAAUGUAAAUAAACAAACCAUUUUUCCCCCUUAGUAUGGGAGACAAAAAAGGACCUAUGGAGCAAUAGAUAAAGUACCGCAAGGGAAAGCUGAAAGAGAAAUGAAACAAUUAGUAAAGGUUAAAAUAGCAGAGACCAACCCUCGUACCUUUUGCAUCAUGAAUUAGCCAGUAAACCCAAGCAAAGAGCCCUUUAGUUUGAAACCCCGAAACCAAGUGAGCUACCCCAAGACAGCCUAUGUAGGGCAAACCCGUCUCUGUGGCAAAAGAGUGGGAAGAGCUUUGGGUAGAGGUGAUAGACCUAACGAACUUGGUUAUAGCUGGUUGCCUAAGAACCGAAUAGAAGUUCAGCCUUUUAAUUUCUUCAUUUAAAACUGGCACCGCCUAACCCAAAUUAAAAGAAAAUAAAAGAGUUAGUCGAGGGGGGUACAGCCCCCUCGACAUAAGACACAACUUUAUAAAGAAGGCAAAAGAUUUAAUAAGAUACAGGCAACAUGCUCUAGUGGGCCUAAAAGCAGCCACCCUAGUAGAAAGCGUUAAAGCUCGAGCAUAAUAUAACCUAUUAUUACCAUAUAAUUAUCUUAAACCCCUACUUUUAUUAGGCCAUCUCAUGCCCCCAUGAGAGAGAUUAUGCUAGUAUGAGUAAUAAGAGGGCCAAGACCCUCUCCUGGCACCAGUGUACAUCAGAACGAACCCCCACUGAAAAUUAAAGCCCCCAACCAAAGAGGGCAAUGAGGGUGUACUAACUUAAAACUAGAAAAUUCCUCAAAAACAAGCGUUAACCCCACACAGGUGUGCCACAGGAAAGACAUAAAAGGAAAGAAGGAACUCGGCAAACACUAGCCUCGCCUGUUUACCAAAAACAUCGCCUCUUGCAUAUACUGGUAUAAGAGGUCCCGCCUGCCCUGUGACUAUAAGUUUAACGGCCGCGGUAUUUUGACCGUGCGAAGGUAGCGCAAUCACUUGUCUUUUAAAUGAAGACCUGUAUGAAUGGCUUAACGAGGGCUAAGCUGUCUCCUUUCCCCAGUCAAUGAAAUUGAUCUGUCCGUGCAGAAGCGGGCAUGCUAACGUAAGACGAGAAGACCCUAUGGAGCUUAAGACACUAGAAUAGUUCAUGUUAAAUAAACCCCUAUAAUGGAUUAAACCAAAUGGAAACCUAUUCUCCUGUCUUUGGUUGGGGCGACCGCGGGAAAAUAAAAAACCCCCAUGUGGAAUAAGGGUAUAACCUUUAAAACCAGAGCCACAGCUCUAAUAAACAGAACCUCUGACCAAUAAGAUCCGGCACCGCCGAUCAACGGACCGAGUUACCCUAGGGAUAACAGCGCAAUCCCCUUUUAGAGUCCAUAUCGACAAGGGGGUUUACGACCUCGAUGUUGGAUCAGGACAUCCUAAUGGUGUAGCCGCUAUUAAGGGUUCGUUUGUUCAACGAUUAAAGUCCUACGUGAUCUGAGUUCAGACCGGAGAAAUCCAGGUCAGUUUCUAUCUACGAAGUAUUCUUUUCUAGUACGAAAGGACCGAAAAGAAGAGGCCCAUGCUAAAAGCAUGCCUCCCCCCAACCUAUUGAAGGCAACUAAAAUAGGCAAAGGGGCGCCUCAAAACAACCUAAGAUAAAGGCAU
rnacentral:rRNA from 1 species